CACCAUCAGCAUUUUCGAAAAAUCUUCAACGAGAGAAAUUUUUAAGGAAUUUAUUGGUUAUUUACAAUAAUAAUUGAGAAUUAGGAUACUUAUGAUGUAUUUAUAUACCCCAUUGUUCUCCGUUUUAAAGUCUACUUCAAAUUUCAGAAUCUUUUAGGCUAAUGACGGAAAUCUUCAAGUCGCAGGGCUUCUUAUUUAAAAAUUUUCCCCUGGGCAAUAAGCUUAUUCACAAGCCUCUAUGCAAUUCCGUACUGCAUUUCUAUCAUAUUCGUCAUAUUUGGCGGAAAAUGUUUCAGCAGAAUAGCUUUCAGACACAAUUUGUUAUUACAGCACAAGAAUUUUUGGAGAUUUGAUAAGUCAAAAAUGUAUGCGUAAGUCUUUUGAACGAAUUUUAACCAAAAAUCAAAAGCAAUGAUUACGUGAAAUUACACAACAAGAAGGCUAGAGGCGUUUAAAGUGUACAUAUAUUUAAUCAAGAUCUAACUUUAUAGAUAGAGCCUUAGCCAAAUGUGAAAAUAACGAAAAUAAUAAGUUCUAACACUGCAGUUUUUAUAGAUUUCAAACGUCCACCAUUUUCCAUUUUAAUUUUAAAUCCCGUUCUAAAUUUGAAUGUUUGAAAUCGUUAUUAGUAAUUCGGGGCGCAUUAGUGGUAACUAUGGCUAGUUGCGCCCCGCCGAAGGGGCGCACAUUUAGUGGACCGCGGGUAUAUAGUGUUUGUUUUAUGUAUGGGAGAAGUUUUUUUCUUACUCUCAACUUCGCUGGGGAACUUCGGCUCGAACAUCCAACCUAGGUUUGAUAUAACACAACCUGUGUGUUUGGUACCAUCAAGACAAAAAUAACACUGAUCGAGCAAAACUUAUCUUGUCUCGGUUUCUUUGUUGUCUCUGAAGAUUUGACUGCCAUUAAAAAUAUUAAUCGAGAUUCUUUUGUUAUGUUAAUUUAAAGCUUUGUAAUAUUGUCUCGUUUAAUAUGCUUAAAUGUCACUGCAGCCCACGUGAAUUUAUCUUCAAGAAAAGGUUUGUUUUUCUUUGUCCAAGUUGUUUCGAAACUUGUUAACAAUCAUUUGUUAUCAAACCAUGCACCAUCAGCAUUUUCGAAAAAUCUUCAACGAGAGAAAUUUUUUAAGGAUUUUAUUGGUAACUUAACACAGUAAUAAUUCAUUAAAAUUGAAAUUGUUCAGAAGUUAUUAUAUAUAUUCGAAUCAUGAAGUUCAUACAUAGCAAUCCUGCAUCCUGGAAUUUUCGAGAUCAGUUAUAAAAAAAUCUAGUUAAAGUUUUAACUAUUGUUUUAGAAUAUAUACUAUAUAUAUGUAAAAAAAAAAUUCAUUUUUUAUUUAUCAAGUUGUAUUUUACGUUAAUUACAAUAAUAAUUGAGAAUUAGGAUA